rnacentral:rRNA from 1 species
UGCGCAGGCGGCCGUGUGUGUGAGGCGUGAAAGCCCGGAGCUCAACUCCGGAAUUGCACCUCAAACUACAUGGCUAGAGCAUUGGAGAGGGUAGCAGAAUUCACGGUGUAGCAGUGAAAUGCGUAGAUAUCGUGAGGAAUACCAGAGGCGAAGGCGGCUACCUGGACAAUUGCUGACGCUCAGGCACGAAAGCGUGGGGAGCAAAAGGGAUUAGAUACCCCUGUAGUCCACGCCCUAACGGUGCACACUAGGUCUUUGCGGAUUCGACCCCCAAGGGCCCAAGCUAACGCGUUAAGUGUGCCGCCUGAGGACUACGGCCGCAAGGCUAAA